UACGUAGGGUGCGAGCGUUAAUCGGAAUUACUGGGCGUAAAGCGUGCGCAGGCGGUUCGUUGUGUCGGCGGUGAAAGCCCCGGGCUCAACCUGGGAAUGGCCGUUGAAACUGGCGAACUGGAGUGUGGCAGAGGGGGGUGGAAUUCCGCGUGUAGCAGUGAAAUGCGUAGAGAUGCGGAGGAACACCGGUGGCGAAGGCGGCAUCCUGGACCGGCAUUGACGCUGAGGCGCGAAAGCUAGGGGAGCAAACGGG
rnacentral:rRNA from 1 species